UGUCUCAAAGAUUAAGCCAUGCAUGUCUAAGUACACACUUUGGUAAAGUGAAACCGCGAAUGGCUCAUUAAAUCAGCUACAAUUUAUUAGAUCGUACACUGUUACUUGGAUAACUGUGGGAAUUCUAGAGCUAAUACAUGCCGAGAGUCUCUGCUCUUCGGGGCAGAGCGCAGUUAUUAGACCAAAACCAGCCGUAUCUUUCGGGGUAUGCUCUUUUGGUGACUCUGGAUAACCUUCAGCCGAUCGCAUGGCCUCGUGCCGGCGACGUAUCUUUCAAGUGUCUGCCCUAUCAACUUUCGAUGGUACGUGAUAUGCCUACCAUGGUGAUAACGGGUAACGGGGAAUCAGGGUUCGAUUCCGGAGAGGGAGCCUGAGAAAUGGCUACCACAUCCAAGGAUGGCAGCAGGCGCGCAAAUUACCCACUCCCAGCUUGGGGAGGUAGUGACGAAAAAUAACAAUGCGGGACUCUAAGAGGCCCCGUAAUUGGAAUGAGUACACCUUAAAUCGUUUAACGAGUAUCAAUUGGAGGGCAAGUCUGGUGCCAGCAGCCGCGGUAAUUCCAGCUCCAAUAGCGUAUAUUAAAGUUGCUGCAGUUAAAAAGCUCGUAGUUGGAUCUGGGGCUUGAGGUCGCUGUCUAUCGUUUCGGCGAUGACGGUGAUGCUCAGCUCUGCUUGCCGGUGACUGUUGCGGUGUUCUUCAGUGAGCGCUGUAGCAGCACGGCACGUUUACUUUGAAAAAAUUAGAGUGCUCAAAGCGUGCUUGUCGCUUGAAUAAUGUUGCAUGGAAUAAUGGAAUAGGACCUCGGUUCUAUUUUGUUGGUUUUCGGAGCUUGAGGUAAUGAUUAAGAGGGACGAACGGGGGCAUUCGUAUUGCGGUGUUAGAGGUGAAAUUCUUGGAUCGCCGCAAGACGGACUACUGCGAAAGCAUUUGCCAAGAAAA
rnacentral:rRNA from 1 species